CGAUGCAACGCGAAGAACCUUACCAAGGCUUGACAUGUGCCAGACCGCCUCAGAGAUGGGGUUUCCCUUCGGGGCUGGUUCACAGGUGGUGCAUGGUUGUCGUCAGCUCGUGUCGUGAGAUGUUGGGUUAAGUCCCGCAACGAGCGCAACCCUCGUUCCAUGUUGCCAGCACGUAGCGGUGGGGACUCAUGGGAGACUGCCGGGGUCAACUCGGAGGAAGGUGGGGAUGACGUCAAAUCAUCAUGCCCCUUAUGUCUUGGGCUUCACGCAUGCUACAAUGGCCGGUACAAUGGGUUGCGAUACUGUGAGGUGGAGCUAAUCCCUAAAAGCCGGUCUCAGUUCGGAUUGGGGUCUGCAACUCGACCCCAUGAAGUCGGAGUCGCUAGUAAUCGCAGAUCAGCAACGCUGCGGUGAAUACGUUCCCGGGCCUUGUACACACCGCCCGUCAAGUCACGAAAGUUGGUAACACCCGAAGCCGAUGGCCUAACCACCUUGUGUGGGGAGUCGUCGAAGGUGGCG
rnacentral:rRNA from 1 species